GAGCGGUAACAGGUGUAGCAAUACAUGCUGACGAGCGGCGAACGGGUAAGUAAUGCUUCGGAAUCUACCCAAUGGUGUGGAAUAACCAGCCGAAAGGUUGGCUAAUACCGCAUGAGCCCUACGGGGGAAAGCAGGGGAUCGUAAGACCUUGCGCCGAUGGAUGAGCCGAAGUCGGAUUAGCUAGUUGGUAGGGUAACGGCCUACCAAGGCGACGAUCCGUAGCUGGUCUGAGAGGACGACCAGCCACACUGGGACUGAGACACGGCCCAGACUCCUACGGGAGGCAGCAGUGGGGAAUAUUGGACAAUGGGGGCAACCCUGAUCCAGCGACGCCGCGUGUGUGAAGAAGGCCUGCGGGUUGUAAAGCACUUUUAGUGGGGAUGAAAAGCUCAGGGAUAACACCUCUGGGUCUUGACCUAACCCACAGAAAAAGCACCGGCUAACUCUGUG
rnacentral:rRNA from 1 species